AGGAAGGACGCUAAAACCUUAAAGUUCGUGGAAGAGGAUGAUCACCAGAAUGGAAGUCUGGAAGCCAUUUCCUCAAAGGAACUUUUGAGGAACUUGGGAAAUUAACUUGAAAUUUCCAGGAGAUUCUAAUGCAGGUGGUCCAUGGACACCACUUUGAGAAAUCCUGGAAUAUCACAGAAAGCCCCUGAAGAAAGGUGAUGGGGUCUCUAUCAGCCUCUCAGGGAUGACAACUGUUGACUACAAUCAGGAUGACAACUGAGAAGCAAGCAAGUGUUCUUUGUUGUCAUUGCUGAGAAAGCUUCACCUUGGCUAAAGGUACAGUCUUGCCCUGCAUCAAACUUGUCUGUAGACACAGGAAACAAGAGGAGCCUCAAAAGCCCCAGGAUAAAGUUUAUCGACUGGCACAUCAAGACACACCGUGUCGGAUGGAGCACAGCUUGUCCUGAAGUUGGUUUCCUGGUUCCCUGACAAUCAGGCUGGCACAUUAUUUACUUGGGAUGGAGAAUGUGUCUGGCACAUCUGUCUCCCCAAGGACUCAAUUUCUUUUUUUUUUUUUUUUAAUUAUUUAUUUGCCAGAGAGAGCGGGAGCACAAGCAAAGGGAGCAACAGGCAGAGGGAGAGGGAGAAGCACGCUCCCUGCUGAGCAAGGAGCCUGAUGCAAUUCAGGGCUCUAUCCCAGGAUCAUGACCCGACCUGAAGGCAGACACUUAACCAACUGAGCCACCCAGGCACCCCAGGACUCAAUUUCUUGUCCCCAAACUGCCUGCUUACCUCCACUUCUGAUUAAUAGCUGCUUAACCCUGUGUUGAAUGUCUGUCUGGACCAUGUGUAUCAGGUGGGGUUCAGUGCUGGAGAGAGAUGCCACCUGAAGUAUUUCAAGCAGAAAGUGACAUAAUACAGAGAAUUAGAUUAUUACAAAAUGUUGGCAUGGAUGUAGAGCACCAGUAUGUUCAUAUGUUGCUGGUGGGAAUGCAGAAUGGUACACCUACCUUGGAUAACAAUUUGGCAGUUUCUUAUAAGGUUAGGCAUACAUUUACCAUAUGGUCUAUCAAUUCUACUCCUGGGUAUUUGCCCAAGGGAAAUUAAAUAUAUAUCUACAUGAAUAUGAAUGUUAAUCACUUUAUUCCUAAUAGGCAAAAACUGGAAACAGAAUCUAUCAACUGGUAACUAUAUAUAUAUAAGAAAGUUUUAGUGAAACUACUAAAAUUGGAAUCAUAUUGUUACUACUCAGUAAUAGUAAGAAAUGAACUACUAGUACACAUCAAUCUGGAGACAUU